rnacentral:rRNA from 1 species
UACGGAGGGGAGCUAGCGUUAUUCGGAAUUACUGGGCGUAAAAGCGCACGUAGGCGGCUUUGGUAAGUUAGAGGUGAAAGCCUGGAGCUCAACUCCAAGAAUUGCCUUUAAGACUGCAUCGCUUGAAUCCAGGAGAGGUGAGUGGAAUUCACGGGUGUAGCAGUGAAAUGCGUAGAUAUCGUGAGGAACACCAGAGGCGAAGGCGGGUCUCUGGGCCGAUAUUGACGCUGAGGAGCGAAAGCGUGGGGAGCGAAACGGG